GCUCAACCGGGGAGGGUCAUUGGAAACUGGGGAACUUGGGUGCAGAAGAGGAGAGUGGAAUUCCACGUGUAGCGGUGAAAUGCGUAGAGAUGUGGAGGAACACCAGUGGCGAAGGCGACUCUCUGGUCUGUAACUGACGCUGAGGCGCGAAAGCGUGGGGAGCGAACAGGAUUAGAUACCCUGGUAGUCCACGCCGUAAACGAUGAGUGCUAAGUGUUAGAGGGUUUCCGCCCUUUAGUGCUGCAGCAAACGCAUUAAGCACUCCGCCUGGGGAGUACGGUCGCAAGACUGAAACUCAAAGGAAUUGACGGGGGCCCGCACAAGCGGUGGAGCAUGUGGUUUAAUUCGAAGCAACGCGAAGAACCUUACCAGGUCUUGACAUCCUCUGACAACCCUAGAGAUAGGGCUUCCCCUUCGGGGGCAGAGUGACAGGUGGUGCAUGGUUGUCGUCAGCUCGUGUCGUGAGAUGUUGGGUUAAGUCCCGCAACGAGCGCAACCCUUGAUCUUAGUUGCCAGCAUUCAGUUGGGCACUCUAAGGUGACUGCCGGUGACAAACCGGAGGAAGGUGGGGAUGACGUCAAAUCAUCAUGCCCCUUAUGACCUGGGCUACACACGUGCUACAAUGGGCAGAACAAAG
rnacentral:rRNA from 1 species